GACGAACGCUGGCGGCGUGCUUAACACAUGCAAGUCGAACGAUGAAGCCGGAGCUUGCUCUGGUGAAUUAGUGGCGAACGGGUGAGUAACACGUGGGUAACCUGCCCAUAAGACUGGGAUAACUCCGGGAAACCGGGGCGAAUACCGGAUAACAUUUUGAACCGCAUGGUUCAAAAUUGAAAGGCGGCUUCGGCUGUCACUUAUGGAUGGAGCCGCGUCGCAUUAGCUAGUUGGUGAGGUAACGGCUCACCAAGGCAACGAUGCGUAGCCGACCUGAGAGGGUGAUCGGCCACACUAGGACUAAGACACGGCCCAGACUCCUACGGGAGGCAGCAGUAGGGAAUCUUCCGCAAUGGACGAAAGUCUGACGGAGCAACGCCGCGUGAGUGAUGAAGGCUUUCGGGUCGUAAAACUCUGUUGUUAGGGAAGAACAAGUGCUAGUUGAAUAAGCUGGCACCUUGACGAUACCUAACCAGAAAGCCACGGCUAACUACGUGCCAGCCGCCGCCGUAA
rnacentral:rRNA from 1 species